rnacentral:lncRNA from 1 species
GCUGCCCUGAAAGAAAGUUCUGGGAUCUUGAAAAUAACCGCUUUAGGUAAGCAUUUCUAUUUGAGGUGCACAGAUCUACAGCAUGACGUCAGAACAUCUGAUCAUCAGACUCCUCCAGAACCGCCCUCCAUUGCUCCCCUAGAGAGCAUUUGGGUUACCUCCUUGGAUCCCCCACCACCCUACAGUCAGGUGGUUCAGAUGCCAACUCCCACAGAACCACCUCCUCCCUACAGCCUCAGGCCUGAGGGCCCUGCUGGCCAGAUGAGAGGGCGUGCCUACGCAACCCUUUGAGCUUCCUUACACACAGCUCUCGGAUCAAGCCCAGAACCCUGGAAUGACUGCCUAUCCCAUCAUGUCUCUUGUCCUUUGA